GUCUCGGUAGUGCAACAGGCAAGUUCCAUAAACUUAAAGUUGUGAGUUCGAAUCUCACCCGGGACA
rnacentral:tRNA from 1 species